rnacentral:rRNA from 1 species
UGGGGAAUUUUGGACAAUGGGCGAAAGCCUGAUCCAGCAAUGCCGCGUGUGUGAAGAAGGCCUUCGGGUUGUAAAGCACUUUUGUCCGGAAAGAAAUCCUUGGCUCUAAUACAGUCGGGGGAUGACGGUACCGGAAGAAUAAGCACCGGCUAACUACGUGCCAGCAGCCGCGGUAAUACGUAGGGUGCAAGCGUUAAUCGGAAUUACUGGGCGUAAAGCGUGCGCAGGCGGUUUGCUAAGACCGAUGUGAAAUCCCCGGGCUCAACCUGGGAACUGCAUUGGUGACUGGCAGGCUAGAGUAUGGCAGAGGGGGGUAGAAUUCCACGUGUAGCAGUGAAAUGCGUAGAGAUGUGGAGGAAUACCGAUGGCGAAGGCAGCCCCCUGGGCCAAUACUGACGCUCAUGCACGAAAGCGUGGGGAGCAAAACAGGAUUAGAUACCCUGGUAGUCCACGCCCUAAACGAUGUCAACUAGUUGUUGGGGAUUCAUUUCCUUAGUAACGUAGCUAACGCGUGAAGUUGACCGCCUGGGGAGUACGGUCGCAAGAUUAAAACUUAAAGGAAUUGACGGGGUCAUAGCUGUUCCU